ACCAGCAUUGUUAGAUGUUGCUUCCAUUGCAGCUGAUCGUAUUCUCCUGCUAGAUUCUUAUUUCAGUGUUGUCAUAUUUCAUGGAAUGACAAUAGCACAGUGGCGUAAUAUGGGAUACCAAAAUCAGCCAGAACACCAAGCGUUUGCACAGUUAUUGCAUGCUCCUCAUGAUGAUGCCCAAAUUAUUAUUCGUGAGCGUUUUCCAGUACCUCGUUUGGUUGUCUGUGAUCAACAUGGUUCCCAGGCUAGAUUCUUAUUGGCAAAGUUGA
rnacentral:misc_RNA from 1 species